rnacentral:rRNA from 1 species
CCUACGGGGGGCAGCAGUGGGGAAUAUUGGACAAUGGGCGAAAGCCUGAUCCAGCCAUGCCGCGUGUGUGAAGAAGGCCUUCGGGUUGUAAAGCACUUUCAGUGGGGAAGAAAGCCUUGGGGCUAAUACCCUCGAGGAAGGACAUCACCCACAGAAGAAGCACCGGCUAACUCCGUGCCAGCAGCCGCGGUAAUACGGAGGGUGCGAGCGUUAAUCGGAAUUACUGGGCGUAAAGCGCGCGUAGGCGGUCUGAUAAGCCGGUUGUGAAAGCCCCGGGCUAAACCUGGGAACGGCAUCCGGAACUGUCAGGCUAGAGUGCAGGAGAGGAGGGUAGAAUUCCCGGUGUAGCGGUGAAAUGCGUAGAGAUCGGGAGGAAUACCAGUGGCGAAGGCGGCCUUCUGGACUGACACUGACGCUGAGGUGCGAAAGCGUGGGUAGCAAACAGGAUUAGAUACCCCAGUAGUC